UACGUAGGGACCAAGCGUUGUUCGGAUUUACUGGGCGUAAAGGGCGCGUAGGCGGCGCGGUAAGUCACUUGUGAAAUCUCUGAGCUUAACUCAGAACGGCCAAGUGAUACUGCAGUGCUAGAGUGUGGAAGGGGCAAUCGGAAUUCUUGGUGUAGCGGUGAAAUGCGUAGAUAUCAAGAGGAAUACCUGAGGUGAAGACGGGUUGCUGGGCCAACACGUGACGCUGAUGCGCGAAAGCCAGGGGAGCAAACGGG
rnacentral:rRNA from 1 species